rnacentral:tRNA from 2 species
GCCCAGUUAGCUCAGUCAGUAGAGCAUGAGACUCUUAAUCUCAGGGUCCUGGGUUCAAGCCCCACAUUGGGUG